rnacentral:sRNA from 14 species
UCUUUGAACAAACAAUACCAAUGAAUAUUAUUUCUUUGUAAAACGACCUCAAAUUACAUUAUUUCUAAGUCAUUUUAUGAUCACCGCCAAAUUGUUGUUGCGAGAGGUCUGAAGAAAUGCCAUUAGCUGGGAUGAGAACUUACCUGAAGUGUUGUAUGGCAAAUGGAAUCAUUGGCGAGAUGAGUUAAAGAAUGUGGCUCAAGUGAGUCUCCCUAGACAUUACUUCCGGAUUGGUUUUCCAGAAUCGGAAUCCAGCGAGGACGCCUUUGGUGUCAUGUCUUAUUGGAGGCCGUUAAUGCCAAAUGGUAAAAUUUAGGUAAAAUUUGGUAAAUCAAAUGUGCUCCUCCGAAGUCAAUGACCAUACCUAGACUUGAACUACAGGCUGCAGUAUUGGAAACCCGUUUGCUGUAUAACAUAGAAAAUGAUCUUCGUCAGAAGCUUGACGAGGGUCGCCACUUCCACAUGAAAAUGUGGUUACAACAACAUUCCUUUAAGGUUUGCCGAAGGGUAUGUUGAAUCGAUUCAACAACUGUCAUUAAGUGGAUUAAUUCAGACUACAGAAGGUAUAAAUCGUUCGUAGCCCAAAGAAUUGCCGAGAUAUUGGACUCGACUCGUCCCGCUGAUUGAAAUGGUUGUCUACGAAUUUGAAUGUAACGGACGAAACAACAAGAGCAAAGAGAAAAACGAAUUUUUGCUUCAAUUCUCGUUGGCACCAAGGAAUACAAUUUUUGCAUGAGCCUGAAGGUAAUUGGCCUAAAAUGGUUUCCGCCCGGAAUGAUGCAAUUUGUGAAGAGGAGCUUUGCCCGAAAUUGUUAGCGUUUGGCAAACGGCGUUACCACCUCAUGGCGAACAAAAAGACUUGCAUUGGAAACAUUUGCGCUUUCGUCUCGGGGAUAGGAAGCUUUCCUAGGGUCAAAAUUCAAUACUUCUGUAAAAAUCGCAAGACAGGAUGCGCCCAUUUCAAAUGUAUUUUGAAAAAAAAAAGUUAAAAAGGCACAGCGCAGUGAGUAAAGCAGAAUACCCGAAGCAAACAAAGAAAC